rnacentral:rRNA from 1 species
UACGUAGGGGGCAAGCGUUGUCCGGAUUUAUUGGACGUAAAGCGCACGCAGGCGGUCAGCCAAGUUCAGGGUGACAGUUCCCGGCUCAACUGGGAAAGUGGUCUGAAAACUGGCGGACUUGAGGGCUUCAGAGGGACACGGAAUUCCGGGUGGAGUGGUGAAAUGCGUAGAUAUCCGGAGGAACACCAAAGGCGAAGGCAGUGUCCUGGGAAGUACCUGACGCUCAGGUGCGAAAGCCAGGGGAGCGAACGGG